rnacentral:rRNA from 1 species
GCUUUACUGUAGCUUGACAUUGGGUCUUGGUACUACAUGUACAGGAUAGGUGGGAGGCUUUGAAACCAGGGCGCCAGUUUUGGCGGAGCCAUCCUUGGGAUACCACCCUUGUAGUACUGGGACUCUAACCAUAGGCCAUGAAUCUGGUCUUGGGACACUGUCAGGUGGGCAGUUUGACUGGGGCGGUCGCCUCCCAAAAGGUAACGG